GACGCACCGUGCAACCGUUGUUCGGAAUCACUGGGCUUAAAGGGCGCGUAGGCGGGUUGCCCAGUCCGGGGUGAAAGCCUCCAGCUCAACUGGAGAAGUGCCUUGGAUACUGGUGAUCUCGAGGGAGGUAGGGGCAUGCGGAACUUCCGGUGGAGCGGUGAAAUGCGUAGAUAUCGGAAGGAACGCCGGUGGCGAAAGCGGCCACCUGGACUGUACCUGACGCUGAAACGCGAAAGCUAGGGGAGCGAACGGG
rnacentral:rRNA from 1 species